rnacentral:rRNA from 1 species
AGCGAACGCUGGCGGCGUGCUUAACACAUGCAAGUCGAGCGAGAAAGGGGGCUUCGGCCCCUGAGUACAGCGGCGAACGGGUGCGUAAUGCAUGAGCAAUCUACCCUUGAGGCGGGAAUAACCCAGCGAAAGUUGGGCUAAUACCGGAUAAGACCACAAGAGGAGACCCUAGAGGCUAAAGGCAGCUCUCUUUUGGGGGCGGCCCUUUGAGGAGGAGCUCAUGUCCAUCAGCUAGUUGGUAGGUAACGGCCUACCAAGGCGAAGACGGGUAGCUGGUCUUAGNGGAUGAUCAGCCACACGGGGACUGGAGACACGGCCCCGACUCCUACGGGAGGCAGCAGUGGGGAAUAGUUGGGCAAGUGGGGAAACCCUGACCCAGCGACGCCGCGUGGGUGAUGAAGGCC